rnacentral:misc_RNA from 1 species
CAGAGUUGCAAAACUCCCAACCCUUUGUGAACGAACCUGACAGUUGCUUCGGCGGAGUACCCGUAAAGGCUAGACCCCAAAAGGGUCUAGCCUUUACGGGUACUCCGCCGAAGUCCUACAAACUCUUGAUUAUCUUGGCAUCUCUGAGUAGCUUAUAAAUAAGUUA